UGUGGGAGCGGGCUUGCUCGCGAAAGGGCCGUUUCUGUCGAAAUCAUUGCUCAAUGACCCACCGCCUUCGCGAGCAAGCCCGCUCCCACA
rnacentral:antisense_RNA from 1 species